rnacentral:rRNA from 1 species
GACAGAGGGUGCAAACGUUGUUCGGAUUUACUGGGCGUAAAGCGCGUGUAGGCGGCUUGGCAAGUCGGAUGUGAAAGCCCACGGCUCAACCGUGGAAGCGCAUCCGAAACGGCCUCGCUCGAGUCUCGGAGAGGAAGGUGGAAUGCUUGGUGUAGAGGUGAAAAUUUGUAGAUAUCAAGCAGAACACCUGCGGCGAAGGCGGCCUUCUGGACGAUGACUGACGCUGAGACGCGAAAGCGUGGGGAGCAAACAGG